GAUGAACGCUGGCGGCGUGCCUAAUACAUGCAAGUAGAACGCUGAAGCUUGGUGCUUGCACCAAGCGGAUGAGUUGCGAACGGGUGAGUAACGCGUAGGUAACCUGCCUCUUAGCGGGGGAUAACUAUUGGAAACGAUAGCUAAUACCGCAUAAAAGUCGAUAUCGCAUGAUGUUGAUUUGAAAGGUGCAAUUGCAUCACUAAGAGAUGGACCUGCGUUGUAUUAGCUAGUUGGUGAGGUAACGGCUCACCAAGGCGACGAUACAUAGCCGACCUGAGAGGGUGAUCGGCCACACUGGGACUGAGACACGGCCCAGACUCCUACGGGAGGCAGCAGUAGGGAAUCUUCGGCAAUGGGGGCAACCCUGACCGAGCAACGCCGCGUGAGUGAAGAAGGUUUUCGGAUCGUAAAGCUCUGUUGUAAGAGAAGAACGAGUGUGAGAGUGGAAAGUUCACACUGUGACGGUAACUUACCAGAAAGGGACGGCUAACUACGUGCCAGCAGCCGCGGUAAUACGUAGGUCCCGAGCGUUAUCCGGAUUUAUUGGGCGUAAAGCGAGCGCAGGCGGUUAGAUAAGUCUGAAGUUAAAGGCUGUGGCUUAACCAUAGUACGCUUUGGAAACUGUUUAACUUGAGUGCAGAAGGGGAGAGUGGAAUUCCAUGUGUAGCGGUGAAAUGCGUAGAUAUAUGGAGGAACACCGGUGGCGAAAGCGGCUCUCUGGUCUGUAACUGACGCUGAGGCUCGAAAGCGUGGGGAGCAAACAGG
rnacentral:rRNA from 1 species